GAACGAGGAUAUAUCCUUCGGGAUAUAAGCCGAGUGGCGCAAGGGUGAGUAAUGCAUAGAUUACCUGCCUCUAGGAUAAGGACAACUUUGUGAAAACGAAGCUAAUACUUAAUAAUACAAAAGAAAAUAAUUUUCUUUUGUCAAUGGGAGGGUAGCAAUACCUUUUGCCUAGAGAGGGGUUUAUGUCCUAUCAGCUUGUUGGUGGGGUAAUGGCCUACCAAGGCGAAGACGGGUAGCCGGUCUUAGAGGAUGGUCGGCCACACUGGGACUGAGACACUGCCCAGACUUCUACGGAAGGCUGCAGUCGAGAAUCUUUCGCAAUGCCCGAAAGGGUGACGAAGCGACGCCGCGUGAGUGAGGAAGGCCUUAGGGUUGUAAAGCUCUGUCAGGAGUUAAGAAAUAUAAGUGUGUUAAUACCACGUUUAUUUGACGAAGGCUCCAAAGGAAGCCACGGCUAACUCUGUGCCAGCAGCCGCGGUAAUACAGAGGUGGCAAGCGUUGUUCGGAAUUAUUGGGCGUAAAGAGCACGUAGGUGGGUUUGUAAGUCAGAUGUGAAAGCCUUCUGUUCAACGGAAGAAUUGCAUCUGAAACUGCAAGUCUUGAGUGUAGGAGGGGAGAAUGGAACUUCUGGUGGAGCGGUGAAAUGCGUAGAUAUCAGAAGGAACGCCGGCGGCGAAAGCGAUUCUCUGGCCUAUUACUGACGCUCAGUGUGCGAAAGCUAGGGGAGCAAACGGGAUUAGAUACCCCGGCAGUCCUAGCCGUAAACGAUGGGCACUAAGUAGAGGGAAUUACCGAUGUUCUCUCUGCCGUAGCUAACGCAUUAAGUGCCCCGCCUGGGGAGUACGGCCGCAAGGCUAAAACUCAAAAGAAUUGACGGGGGCUCGCACAAGCGGUGGAGCAUGUGGCUUAAUUCGAUGCAACGCGAAAAACCUUACCGGGGCUUGACAUGGUAGAAGUAGGAACCCGAAAGGGUAACGAACGGUAUCCAGUCCAUAGCUAUCACAGGUGUUGCAUGGCUGUCGUCAGCUCGUGUCGUGAGACGUUGGGUUAAGUCCCCUAACGAGCGAAACCCUUGUUUUUAGUUACCAGCGGGUUAUGCCGGGUACUCUAGAAAGACUGCCGUCGUCAAGACGGAGGAAGGUGGGGAUGACGUCAAGUCAUCAUGGCCCUUAUGCCCCGGGCUGCACACGUGCUACAAUGGUCGGUACAAACGGAAGCGAAGCCGAGAGGUGAAGCGAAUCCUAAAAAGCCGAUCUCAGUUCGGAUUGGAGGCUGAAAUUCGCCUCCAUGAAGUUGGAAUCGCUAGUAAUCGCGGAUCAGCAAUGCCGCGGUGAAUAUGUUCCCGAGCCUUGUACACACCGCCCGUCAAGCCACCCAAGCAGGAUGCACCCGAAAACAUUAUAUCUAACCAGGGCAACUUGGAGGAAAGUGUUGAAGGAGUGUUUUGUGA
rnacentral:rRNA from 1 species